rnacentral:rRNA from 1 species
CUACGGGUUGCUCCAGUGGGGAAUAUUGGACAAUGGGGGAAACCCUGAUCCAGCAAUGCCGCGUGUGUGAAGAGGGCCUGCGGGUUGUAAAGCACUUUCGGUUGGGAGGACUGCUUCCAGCACUAAUAUUGUUGGAAGUUGACGUUACCUUCAGAAGAAGCACCGGCUAACUCCGUGCCAGCAGCCGCGGUAAUACGGAGGGUGCAAGCGUUAAUCGGAAUUACUGGGCGUAAAGCGCGCGUAGGCGGCUAGAUCAGUCGGGUGUGAAAGCCCCGGGCUUAACCUGGGAACUGCAUCCGAUACUGUCUAGCUUGAGUACAGGAGAGGAGAGUGGAAUUCCACAUGUAGCGGUGAAAUGCGUAGAUAUGUGGAAGAACACCAAUGGCGAAGGCAGCUCUCUGGCCUGAUACUGACGCUGAGGUGCGAAAGCGUGGGUAGCAAACAGGAUUAGAUACCCCAGUAGUC